rnacentral:lncRNA from 1 species
UGGAAAUAUGAUGUCGGGUCAUCAUGUGCUUGUGACUGCUUUUUUUGACUGCACACUGAUGAAACCUAAAUGCUACUACUAUAACUGUCUUCUCUCAUAAGCUAAGAAAAAAAAGGUGGUUACAUUUCCUUUUUCUUAUGCAACGUCCAGGUCAGGAUAUAUCAUCUUGGAGUCAUGAUAUGUGCGGUUGUUUUUCAGGC